CAAAAUUUUUGUCGUUGUGAUGGAUGUAGUCAUAAUUCUUUGCAUCUUAUUGGGAUUUUUAAUUUACGCUCACUAUUCAAACUGUGAUCCUUUACUAAGUGGAAAAAUUGAAAAACACGAACAGCUGGUGCCCUAUUACAUUAUGGAAAUUGCUGGAAAUUUACCCGGGGUUUUUAGUUUGACUCUUGUUGCUUACUUUUGUGCAUCGUUGAGCACAGUUUCCUCAAGUUUAAACGCAAUAUCCGGCGUUAUUUAUAAAGACUUUGUUACAAAAUUCGUAAAAAAUGAAAUUACCGAAAAGACAGCUGGGUACAUUUUACGAAUCAUUGUGGUUAUUGCUGGUAUUUUAGUUCUUUCGAUUGUUUUCGUUAUUGAACAUUUAGGUGACAUUUUCCCAUUGCUGAUGAGUGUAAGAGCAGUUGCAGAUGGACCUUUGGUUGCUUUAUUCACAUCAGGAGUUUUGAUUCCAAAAAUAAAAGCCGAGGAGGCUUUUUAUGGAGCUAUUUUAGUUUUUAUUUUUCAAGCAAGUAUAGCAAUUGUCUCAAAAAUAUAUCUCUUCAAUAAAGCAAUUGUUGCAAUUGCCAAGCCAUUGUCGAUCGACAGUUGUGCCAACUCUUCUUUAAUCAGCUUUAACAAAACUCUAACAACAGGAAGCAAACCUUUUUUUAUAUUCCGUUUAUCCCAUAAUUAUCAGUGUGUCUUUGGAGCAAUUUUAACAAUAGCUGUUGCCCUAAUUAUAAGUUAUUUAACGAACAGAAACAACACUCCAGUUGAUAAAAUGUUGCUCAGUCCUGUUAUUCAUCGUUUUCUUCCAAAAUCUCCACCGAACCGUGGCAAAGAAUUACAAGAAUUAAUACAACACAAUGAAAACUGUAACUAAAUAAAACCAUGUAUCGUUUUUAUUAAAACAUGUAGAAAAAAAUUCAUAAUUCAAGGCCUUUUUAUCACCAAGUAAUAAUUUC